ensembl:lncRNA
UUUCAUUCCUGCCAAACCAAUAAUCUGGACCCAUUCUGGUUCCCGUCCUUGCACGUGAGGUUGGAAAUUCCAAACAAAAGCAGGAGGUAGCCCUCACCUGGUGGGUAGCAUGGGUCACUGCACCCUGGGGCUGGAUUACCUUAUGGGCGUCCAUGAGGUUCAUGACCAGGUCGAGGUCCCCGUGCACGGGCUGGUCCUCGGCCAGCUGCGGCUCCACCUUGUACAGCCAGUCAACCAAAGCCUGCAGAGCAUCCAUGAACUGACCCGAAAACAGCAGGGCCUCCUCCAACUUGUGCUGCCUGAGAGAAACCAAACCUCACUGUUUUGGGGGAUCCCUUUUCUUUGACUGGCUCACAGUUCUGACUGCUGAAGGGAACACUGCUUGCACUCUACAGAGACAGGGCCCUCCAUGCUGGGCUGGUUCGAAACAGAUAAACAGUGACAAAGAGCUAUGCCUAGACAUUUUGAACCAAACUGCUCUCUAGAAUGGAUUUAGUACAGGAAACAAGUGCAGAUACCCUUCUGGCAUCUUAGGAGUCCAAUGGUUAUAUAUGGAUACACCCUAAUGCCCCAAGUUCUGUGCUAAUCACCUUACACCACUCAGGUGGAGGAGGACAGUUUCAGCCACGGUCUGAGUCAGGAGUUGUGUGACCCUGGGCUUUCUCUUCACCUCUGUGAACCUCAGUCACCUCAUCCAAAAAAUUGUGGAGCACAAUAUAAAGAUAUCCUAAUACUUAGCAUAGCAUAGUGGGCACCCAGGGACAGGAGUACAACUUAUGGAACCAAACUCAAAAGCUUCAAAUCCCAGCUCUGCUGCUUAGUAGCUGAGUGACCUUGGGGGAGUUAAAAACCCUCUUUAUGAUAGUUUCCUCAUGUGUAAAAUGGGAAUAACAGAGCCCGCCUCAGUGGUUGUCAGGUGGAUUAAGUGAUUAGUAGCCCCUUUUUGGCACAUGCUCAUUAGUGAUUGCCCUGUCAAGGGCAGGUAUUACAAUGGUUACACGAGGUGCUAUGUGCAGAGGCUUUGCUCAGUGCCUGACAGUGAGAGAACUGACACAGCCAUCAGUGUCACAACUUAGUCACUGACAGAGAAGUGUAGUUACUAAUCUUCUGUUGCUAUUGGCUUGAGUUAUGGCCUUCUUGCUAAUACGGUAAGGUUCAAGUUUAAAAUGAGAAUUUUAAUACAUUUUAUUCAACUUCACAACUUGCAUUGAAUGAACCAGAGAUAUUGAGAUGCUACAAAACCUGUUCUGAUGCAUUAGCUUUAUUGCCAUUUUAUGGAAUCCAAUUAACAGUCUUUGUUAGUUUCAGGAUGACAUACAGACCCACAAAGCAAAUAUUCGUACUCACCUCUCCACAGACUUGCCACAAACAGUAUCCCAUUUGUCUCUGACUUCUCCCAGUAAAUUGUCAAGUUUCUGAGUGUCAUCAGGAAGCAAAGUCUUUUCUUUCAGGGCUCUACCAGUUCGAAUUGUGGUAUCAUACACAGGCUGUUUGCCACCAAGGGUUUUCUGAAAUUCCUGUUUCCAAAGAGAACAGAAAGAAUCCACGCUAAAAGAUGAUGUCUUGAUUUGGAACAAAGAAAAUUUUUCAGUGUUCAGGUUGGUAAUGGAUGUCACUACUUCUUGAGUUAACAACAGCUUAUCCUCGAGAAAUUUAAAAAUUUUGGGUGCGCCUGGGUGGCCUACUCAGUUAAGCAUCUGAUUCUUGAUUUCGGUUCAGGUCAUGAUUGCACGAUUAAUGAGAUUGAGACCUACAUUGGGCUCUGUGCUGACACCAUGGAGCCUGCUUGGGAUUCUGUCU